rnacentral:rRNA from 1 species
GAUGAACGCUGGCGGCGUGCCUAAUACAUGCAAGUCGAGCGAAGCGGGAACGGGUGAGUAACACGUGGGUAACCUCCUAUAAGACUGGGAUAACCUCGGGAAACCGGAGCUAAACCGGAUACUUCUCGCUGCCUCCGCGCUGCAUUAGCUGGUUGGUGAGGUAACGGCUUACCAGGGCAACGAUGCAUAGCCGGCCUGAGAGGGUGAACGGCCACACUGGAACUGAGACACGGGCCAGACUCCUACGGGAGGCAGCAGUAGGGAAUCUUCCGCAAUGGGCGAAAGCCUGACGGAGCAACGCCGCGGGAGUGAAGAAGGUCUUCGGAUCGUAAAGCUCUGUAAGUAGGGAAGCGGUACCUACACAGAAAGCCACGGCUAACUACGUGCCAGCAGCCGCGGUAAUUC